UACGUAGGGGUCGAGCGUUGUCCGGACUUACUGGGCGUAAAGCGUGGGUAGGUGGUCGGUGAUGUGCCGUGUGAAAGCGCCGCGCUUCUCGCGGCGAGGUCGCGGUAGACACACCGACUCGAGGCACGGAGAGGGGCGUAGAAUUCCCGGUGUAGUGGUGAAAUGCGUAGAGACCCGGAGGAACACCAGUGGCGAAGGCGGCAUCCUGGUCUGCGACUGACGCUGAUGCGCGAAAGCAAGGGGAGCGAACGGG
rnacentral:rRNA from 1 species